rnacentral:lncRNA from 1 species
UGGGCAGCCAUUGCGGUGACACGUGGCUUGCUGCCAGUGCUGGGCCUGUUUGGGCUUUCCCAACAGUUGUCUGGGAGAUGUUUUCCUCUCCCUCUAGUCUUGGGAAUUUAAAUUUACCCACCUGUGAUAUUGACCUAACAAUUCUAGGAGGCAGCAGUGGAAGACCAGAGUCAACGGAAAACCUUGUCUUGGUUUCUACUUGGGUCCACUCUCCCUGCAUAAUAUGGGACCUCCUCCUUGCUUGGCACCACAGUUGGCUUUUGGUACCCCCUCCCCCCUUAUUUCAUCUGUUGCUGUUUUAUUAAGAAUUUCCUACAGAAUAAUAUGUCGUUGUAUUCAGGGGCAGGGAAGAUUUUUAUUUCCAGGCAAGUCGGCUGGUCUGGAAGUUUUCGCCUCCCUCAUAGCAACUAUCACAACUUUGGCAGUUAAGGCAUUGGGUAGGAUCCACAGUAAUUAAUCAGAAAGGGCAGUUGUAUAGCUUUGUCUUAACCUUCCAGGAAAUUGGGGUAUCCUAUUAAAGGGAUCCUAGGGGUGAUGUUUUUGUCCAUUUUGUCCCAGAUGAUGAUGAUGAUGAUACCCCGCCCAUCUGGCCCAUGGGAGCUGAGACCCAUAGUACUCCCCAAGUUGGUUAUUCCGAUGAGCUGCUCCUCUUUGAUGUAAGUCAUAGGGCAAUCCUAUCCCGGAAUCGACUCCCUGGUCAGCAGUCAAUAGGCGGGCUGACUGAGCGGGAAAUCACCCAAUGCUUGUGCUCAGUCCCCUUACAUCUGCAGUUGAUAAAGUUGUGACCUGUUUUGAUCCAAGAAUGUUGCCCUGUGUUUCUUUAAUCACAUAUGUGAGACACCAGGCAGUGGGCUGACUGAACACGCAACUGGAUCGAGACAAAAUUAUUUGCACUUGGUUCCAGUCAAGUGUCAACCAUUCACACUGAUUUCAGUGGGCCCUACCUAAGAGGAGAGAUGGACAAAUCUGGCAAUUUCAGCUCUCUGUUUCUUAUUUUUCCAAUCUUAAAAAAAAAAAAAAAGAAAUGUGUAGAACAGUGUUUUUGUUUUUUGGGGGAAAUUUAAAGACUAAAUAUUUACUUGGCAUGUUGAAGUCACUGAAUUUUCACAGUAACUUAUUUUACAGUGGUCAAGGAGAGGGAGUAAAUGCCAUUUUAAAGACAUUUUUGUAUUUAACACUUGAUUCCAAAGUUCAGUGCUGGUCCCGCCUCAGUAUUUUUAUUGUUCUACACAUUUCUGCAGCAGUUUGCAAACUUUAGUUAAAAUAAUUCUCAUGAAAAUUCAUCAGCAUUUGGGUGCAAAUUUAGCUUAAUACAUUUUUGAUGCAGCUUUGACUAAUAUCAACAUUUUUCCUAAGCAAUUUCCCUUAAUGUAAUGCAUUUGCUCUUUUCACAAAUACAUACAUCUUUAUGUGAAUUUUACACCAGCAUAUGCAUUUCUGUACAUAUGACUCGGCUGGAGAACUACAUUGCGAAAUAUAGAGAGAAGCACAAAUUUUGAAAAAUGGCUUUUUUCAGUUGGCACCUUGCUUCAGAAAGUGCAAGUUAGGUUAGUUCACCUUUAAAUGUAAACUGAAUCCAUUCUAUCCAUUGCUUCCCUUAACUUUAGUGUUUCAUUGCCUGUGUGAACCACAUGCAAGACUUUAGCACAGUGGUCUGGAAGAUGAAACAAUUAAUCCUGAAUUAUGGGAGGGAGCCUAUUGUGGUGUCUAUAUUACUACCUAAAGAGUUCACGGUGAUUAAUGCCACUUAAAAGAUACCAAAGGACUUAAUAUUGAUUAGGUGAUUAUUUUAACAUGUGGCCACUUACUGUAAUUUAUACCAGCUUCCGUUUUACAAAGAUUUCACUGCUGCUCUUGACCCAGUGCCAGCUAGGCUUGAGAUUUACAGCUGCCCUGGGAAGCUGACACGACUUUUUCAGCAUUGCCACCUAUAAUUCAUCCUGCCCAUGAAAGAAAGGGGCCUUGUCUCCAAGUCAGAAGCCUGAUAAGCAGCUGUCCUCCCAGUAGAUGGCAAGUUUGCUUCAUAAUACAAUUCUAUUCAAAAGCGGCAUCCCCUCCAUUGCGUAAACUAACCUCACACUGUCGCUUCCCAUACACUGUAGAGAGUUCUGUGGCUAAUAAGGGUAACACUAAGUAAUCCAGACAGUAAAUACAGCUUCUACUUAUCGGAAUUAAUUAUGGUUACUGCAGUAAGCACAAUUUUAAAUUAAUUACAGUUCUGCGUAUUAAAAGUGAAGACCGUAAUGUCAUAACUAAAAUGUCAUUACAGUGGGGAAAUGCUGAGAGGUUCAUACACUUAACAAGUGUGCAUGUCUGCUUGAAUGGUGAACACUGUUUUCUAUGGUGAUAAUCAAUGUAGAAUAUUAGAGUAAUGGAUGCGGAGCAGGACUGUAGGGCCUUGAAAAGCACAGGAGAUGAGCUCUGUUGUUGACCUUCAUCCCCUAAGAGCAAAAGGGGCAGCAACCCACCUGUCCCCCACUUGACCCCAGAGCUUGAGUCUACUAUCUCAUGUGAAUCACUCAAGCCACAUCCAUGUCAUGUAUUUAAAGCACACUUAUACCACUUUAAUGGUCAUGGCUUCUCCCAAAGAAUUCUGGGAAUCCUGAGAACUGUAGAGUGUACUGUAAGAGUGCUGCAGAGAAUUGUGGAUUGUGGAAUUUUGGCAAAUAUCCCCCAUUCUCAGAGUGGUUUAAUAAUCUCCUCUUCCCAGAGAUGUCUGGGAAUUAUAGCUCUGCGAGGGGAAUGGGGAAUCUCCUAAUAACCCUCAGCACCCUUAACAAAGUAUAUUUCCAAGGAUUCUUUGACAGUUUAAGUGGUAUAAGAGUGCUUUAAAUGUAUGGUAUACAUGGGGCCUCCAUCUCUGCCUGUCUUCCUGCUUGUAGCCUGAAUUGCUGGGCCCUGCUUCCCUUCACCUGCCCCUGCCCCAUAACUCUCUAGAAACUGGGAAUAACAACCCCCCCAAUUCCCACUAAAAAUUGUGUCCAGGCAUGACAGCAUGACCCACUGAUACUCUUCCCAUUGGUGUGCCCUUGUUCUUCCUUCAUGUGGUUCUAAGAUCACUUCCACGUGGCAGCUCAUUGUGGACUCAGUGUUAUGUUAAAGACAUAGGUUUAAUGUGCAUAAAAUGUAAUAUUUAGAUGCAUUGAAGUUUGAAAACUUAUGUAAAGGUUUGUAUUUUGCAAAGAGAGGUUUGAAUUAGCAAGAGGUUUAACUCCAGCAGAUGUGGCAGGAGAGGGUAGAAGUUUCUGUUUCAGUGUGUAUGGUAAGUCAUGACUCGUCCUUGGGAAACCUGAGAACUCAGCAUCUCAGACGUUAGCAGAGCCAGCAGAAAGUCAGCUCAGCAUUGUUGAAGAAGCACAUUGCUUUUGCAUAGGAUCUCUCUCUGGGACCAGAGAGUGAAAGCUGUUGGACUAUGUUGAGGACUUAAAGAAGAUUGGGCUGCUUUGCUAGUUUGUUUAAGAACAAUGUGUUCGUGUUUUUGCAACAUUUAUUUUGUAACUGGUUUAAGUCAGCUUGCACUUGUAACACUUUUUGGAACUCAUUGUGGUGGAGAGGUUACAUUUCUACUCUGCACAAGGCGCAGAUCAGGAGUUCAGCUUGCAAAUUCACACACACACACAAGUUUUGAGCUGCGUUCACACUGCAUGUCCUCAUCAAAAUGUGAACCCACGUUCUUUUUCCAUUUAAUCUAACAAGUAGCAUUAAAAAAAAAUUGCAGGGAUGGUAAAUCUAGAUUAAAGGGGGAGCUAUGGGAUUGCAUUUUGAUGAGGACAACUUCGUGUGGACAUUGCACCAAACGUGGGUACAGAAGCAACACUGAGUCCACAAUAAACUGUUGUGUGAUAGUACUCUGGGACUCCAAGGAAAAAGAAAUAUGAACAACCCCUUUAGACAAGGAUAGAAACAUGGACCUUCUCAGGACAUCACAAAUUGUUUUUUAAAAAACUCAACUUUUAUAUCCUUUUUAAGCACCGUCUUUUCAUAGAGAAAAAUUGGCCCCACUGGGUUUUGUUAGGCCGCCGAACAUAUUUUAUAUGAAGUGAAGUGACUGCUCCCAAGGGAAAUUACUCAGCUGUGCAAAUGCCCUUGGUUUCGAGGCUGGUUUCUCAAAGAGAUCUCUCAGAGCACUGUCAUAACCACAUCACUGUCUUCCUCAGCCAGCCGAAAACUGUCAAGCACAGCAGGCAGGGAGGUACCUGAAAAGGUUCACAACAGGGGGGAAAUGCUGCCACUUGAAACAGCUGCUGAGAAACCUCUCCAAGACAAAGAAGGAGAAAGGGUCACUUGGGCCCAGCUGUGGCCACAUUAAGCUGCUAUUUUACUCUUUGGCUUCUGAGGUACUUUCAGGCAUUUUACAAUAACCCUCUUGAUGGAGGUUAUUUUGGCCAUCCUGCUGUCUGAGUGUGCCACAUAGCUCCUUCUUGACUGCUCAUUAACCCUCUUGAUCGCUCCUGGGAUGCCAUUCCAGGAAAACGGUGGAGCUAUUGCAGUUCACACAUGUUAAACUAAGUACCACAUCAGUUUUGGAACAGAGCCAAUGGAUAAUGAUGGUGUAUGUCUCAAAACGCCUGGUGCUUCGCCAGGAAAAGAAAGAGGACUCCAUCAUGACCUGUAUAUACAAAGCUAGCUGUGCCUGGGGACCAUGAAAUGCUGCAGGUGAAAUGAAUGAGUGGUUAAAUCACGACAUCACUGAACUUUUUUGUUUUUACUUUGGCCAUCAGAAGUGUAAUCCAUUUCCUUCUUUCUUCAGAUGACGCCUGGAAUUCCUGCUUCAUACAAGAAGCCCUACCCAUCAUGAGGGAGAAAGAUGAGUGUCCCCUCUCAGCUCCCCGCCACCCUUUGCAGACACAUGGAAUCCCCAACACAGCUUUGCUUCCUAAACCUUGGAGAUUGUACAACCUGCUGACUUCUUGGUGUUCCUUUUAACACAGCCAUCAACCCUCCUCCCUCCUGCCCUAUGUUGCCUUUGAGGCUGUUUAUAUGAGGGCUGUGGAAAUGCAGGGGUGAGAUUUAUCCUGCUUUCACCAUCCUCCUCUCUCUAGUUACACCCCUAUUUUGUUGACUUCUGAUAGCAGAGGCAGACAAAAGUCAUGGGGAAGACAUCCACUCAGGCGCAUAACACAAGGUAAUUCUGGAGCAGCCAUUAAAAUACAGUGACAGUUAACUCUCAGCUUGCAGCAGGGAUAGACUACCAGCAACACAGGAAUGUGAACAUGAAAAAGCAUCAACUUCUAAUGCUAAGAUAACCUCUUCAUGCCUUUAUUUGGGAGUUUGGGAUCAACUGUUUGCAAUUUGUCAUUUUACUUCUACUCCGCCUUCCAUCUUCAGCACUCUCCCUUUCUUAUUAGGCAACAUUUUAUGUAAAUUGCAGAAACUGUACUUGUAAGACAUAAAUCCCAGUGGAAUAAAACAUGC